ACUACAUGGUAACAUUCGUAAUUUUAUAAGAUAUAAAAAGUAUAAUACUCCAGGUAGUUAUUAACAAAUUAAAAACAAAUAAGCUCGAUUGGGCAGGUGUAUUUAUACACAUAUGUUCGAUGCAUAUAUAUGUAUAUAUAUAUGUAUAUAUACCCAUUUGAUCAGUUACUCAGGCACCCAAUAACCUACUUUAUCUAUUAAUUAUCUUCGUAGAAAAUAUAAAUAAAAAAAAAGCGUUGCAAAGUAUUUUAAGUGAUUACGUUUUCACGUAUAUAAACACAAUUAAUAAUGAAAAUAUAAGCAUUCACCAUGGUAAAGAAAAAAUGUUCUUAUAAUAUAACGUUAUACAAUACAUUUGUGCAUAUACAUACAUAUGUGUAUAUAUACUUUUUAUGUCAUUUUUUUUUAUAUAUUUAAAAUGUCUGUUUUGUUAAUAUUCGGUUGUAGAGCUGCAAUCCUUUUAUUUCUUUCCAGUCGAACGACACACGUAUAUAACAGUGCAGACACUCAUUUCUUCGCUGAUACUUGACAACAAGCAUAUCAAACAUGGAGCUCUUUUUUAUGAAGGACACAUGGUUUAUUCGAGUUUACCUAUGGAUGACAUUAAAAUCAUUUACAACUAUUUAGUUUCUUAUAGUGGAACAGUAAACAAUUUAAAGUUGAGCGAGUUUCCUUUUAAAAAAAUUGCUUCAUCUGCGGCCGUAAACGUAAGUGACAUUUUUUUAAAUAUUCUACUUUUUUUUUUUUUUUUUUUUUUUUUUUUUUUUCAUAUUCACAUAAAAUGUGUUAAACAUUUGUUUUUUUUUAUUUUUAUUUUAGACAAAUGGCGGGUUAUCCAGUUUUGCAAGGUCCAAUUCUAUCGAAGAAAAAAAUGGUUUUCUCAUGGGAAUAAAAAAGUAAAAAAAAUAAAUACAUACAUAUAUAUAUACACAUGUGUAAUUUGUAUUGUUAUCGCAUUACUAUUUUUCAGCUCGUUUAAUUUUAAACUAUAUGUACACAUUUGUACAUAUAUAUAUAUAUAUAUGUGUGUGUGUGUUUAUACUGCUUAUCUUACAAACCAAAACAGGUCGUUUAUGUUUAUGCCCGUAAUAACAUUAAGCACAAAUAAGAAAUACAAACUAGUAGUUUUUGUUUUUAAAGGCAUUCUAAUCAUGCUAUUAAUUAAAGGCAGUACUGUUAAAGAUGAAGAUUUUGACAUUCUAAUUGAUAUACAAAACAAAUGCACAAAUGAUAAUUCUAAUAAUAUAUACAAACUGACAAAUUUAAAUGAUAUACUUAAAUUACAAUAUAAAAAAUAUAUAAAUAAUGACGAUUUUGCCAGAUACUUUUAUUAUAACAAAAUUAAUAAUUCAGUUAAAUAUUCUAUGCAUAAUAAAAAAAUAAAUAACGAAGAACUGUUUUUGGUAGCACAUUUGCAUUUUUUACUCAAUGAAUCACAAAUAAAAUAUAAAAAAAGCAAAAACAAAAGAAAGGAAAUAAAAGAUAAUCGAAUAGGUUUAUCAUUUUGUGAAACGCACACAGAUGCUCGUGUUGAUACAAAUGCUAAUAAAAACGAAACUCCUGUAAAAAAUGAUUUAUCACAUUUUGAACAUGAACCUCAACAUACUAAAUCCACAGAAAAUAAGGAAAAGCAAUUUACACAUGACAACAAAAAUAUACAAAAAAAAGAAACUAGUGAAUCUAAUAACUGUAAUGACAAACAAAACAAUGAUAAAAAUGACAAAGUUGAAGAAAGUAAAAUAAACCAUACGAGUCAGGUGCAGGAUGAGAGACAGGCAAAGAAAAAGAAUGAAGUUAAUACAGGCACAAAAGAAGAGGAAAACGAUGCACCAGCAAAUAGAAAUUUAGGCACAGUAGCAAAUACAAGCACGGUCAUACAAACAGAACAAACAGAACAAACAGAACAUACGCAAAAACCCAAUGAUAAUAUUAUUAACACAUCAAACAAAAGCAACAGGAAAUUAAAACUAGUUAUAAAUGAGGAAUUAAAAAAAAAAAUAUUUGAUUAUGCACGUGAAGAUAUAGAAAUAGAAAAAAUAUUUUUUAAAGAAGCUAGUUGUCCUUGGAUAUUUGGUACAAAAAAUUUACAGAGGGAACUUUUUAUUUUACCUGACGAUUUAAAGAUGUCAUUAUCAAAAGCACAAAACGAAAUAGACAAAAUAAUGAGUAUGAAUUUUUCAAAGAUUUAUAUUUGAAAAGGCGAGUCGGGUGAGUUAGCUAGUUUAUUAAAUAGAUAAACCGUUCCUUUGCUAGUCAUUUGUAUAAUACUGCGCGUUAGGUUCAAAACAUACUUUGACAGAACAUACUAAUACUACCUUGUUAUUAAGCUCAGAAUGAAGUAAAUGAUUUCAAUUUACCUUACAUACUUACAUAUGAAAAGACCAUUUUGAAUAACAGUUCUUAAUUUGUUCAGCGUAAAAAAAAAAAUAAAAAUAAAAAAAAUAAAAAAAAAUAAAAUAAA
ensembl:lncRNA